rnacentral:lncRNA from 1 species
GGAGUCAGCGCGCCCACGUGACGGCCCCGGCUCUCCGGUGAGCUCCCCAAACAGACGCACACCCAGCCACACGCGCGCGCUCGCGCUCGCGCGCGCGCACACACACACACACCACACACAUACACACACACGCACGCACCCCCGCGCGCACACGCCCGCCCGCCCGCUCGCGCUGCCUCUGCGCCUCCAUCCCGGCUAGCUCAUUAUCUCGCCCUCUCGCUUCCCCUGCGGUCUCUCGCUCUGCGCGCACACACCUCACACACGCACACGCACACACACGCGCGCACACACGCAGCCGGCACAGGCGGCGGCGGCGGCGGCUGCCCAAGUCAGGACGAACCUCUCUAGGUACCGUCUUGAGAAGGCGGCAGCGGCGGCGGCGGCGGCGGCGGCGGCGGCGGCGGCAGCCCGAGCAUCCCUCCUCUCCCGGAGAGGGAGCACCGCCGAGAGUUUCCGUUCCCUUUGCCAUUCCCUUCCCCCUCCUUUUCUUUAUUUUCGAGAGAAUUUCUUCUUGGUUUAUUGGUUUAAUUUGAUUUUUAAAAUUUUGGGUUGCUUUUGUGUAUGUGUGCUUUUUUUUUUCUUUCCUCAUUUUAUUUGCAUCCAGAGCAUGGCGGGCUGCGGGCUGUCGGAAGACACCCUCUUCUCUUCCUUCUUUUACAACUACGGCUCCUCCUGGGAAACCCCUUCCAACCAGUGGUGCGGUAUGAACUUUAAGAUAAAGUACAGAAACAAAUGAGAGAUGUACAUCAUUAGGGGAAGGUGCGUCAGAUGCUACCGAAGCUUUAAUCUCUGGUGGUAAAUGCAGCCGGGGCAGUGAAUCUUACCAGGAUUUGCGGUUUCCAGCACAGCCACAAUCUCCAUUUUCGGGGAUGAAGAGUACAUGUGCAUAAGGGACCUUACUGAUCUCCAGUUUGCAUUUUCAGCAUUUGAGCAUGGGCACAUGAUUGAGAAACAUGCUCUUAACUGUUCCUAAGAAGAAAAAGGAUACAAGAAAAGCGAUACUUUAAAUCUCAUCUUGGACUCGGGCAGAACUGCUGUAGGAAGGCCUGGGCCAAAUUUGUGAAAGUGAGACUUAUUCAUGAUUUUACCCUGAUUGCUGCCAAAAUGCUUACAUAUCCUGCGUUUCCUAAAAAUAGCAAUGUUCUUCAAAUAUAAUUUGUUUACUCUACCUCAAUUAAAAAUAAAAUCCUUUUCCUAGUGUUACAAAGUGCUUAUGAAGGUAAGGGUUGACUGUACUAAAAAAAAAAUCAAGCUUUUUAUUUCUAGAUCAAUAUGAUGUGCUCUCAACAUCUAAUACCAUGUAAAAGGAGCCUUUUUGCAACAUCAAUAGCAGGCAGGCAUGUCUCCCUAAGAAGCUCUUUUCCUGGAAUCACAAGGCAUUUUGAUUACUUUCAUUUUCACAAGACACAUGAUUAUGACACCUCUCGUUAUAAACAAGCAAGUAAAAAAAAUAAUGAAGAUGGAGGUUCUUGAUAUAUAGACCUGGAAAAUUGGAAACAACUAGGGCAUUUAUUCAUUCCUGAAAAACAGAAACACAAACAAACAACAAAAACCCAAUCACAAAUCAUGACCGACCAGGUUUUCACUUGUUCUAUGACAUUUUAUUCUUGAAGCUGGGGAGGGAGGGGUGAUUUUUUUGGAGAGAGCCCAAUGUGUAUUAGAGCCGAAACUACAUCUGUUACCAUUUAAAAACUGGGAAAUUCCAUCCUAUAUCUGAGAGGACCAUGUUGCAGAUAUUUUGCACCCACUUGCCAAUGUGCAAAACAUAUCAUAGCAAGUGUGUGUGUGCGGGGAGGAGCAUCUGCUUAGGUGGAAUUCAUUUCUUCAAUUAGAACGAAACCCCCAAUUAAAGUGUAUAUGUGAAAUGUCUCUGAUUUGGCUCAGUGCAGCAGACAGCAGACCAUUCUUUAAUUUACAGUUUCACGCCUAGGGAUGGCAGUAGUGCAAGCUUCCAAAACCGAGCUUUAUCUUUUGAUGUUGUGCUUUUCAACCUGUGAUUCUCUCCUGUAGUUGUUUCGGCUUUCUGUCUCCAUCAGAAAGCUGACUGUGGAGUGGUCAUGAUUGCUUGCAGUUUGGACCCAGGUCACCUUAUUAGUUGUCACUAUGUAAGCCCAAAUCGAAGCAGGCCAGGUCUGUAUGAUAUUGAAUCAAUCAAUUGAAAGUGAAAAAUGGAGCCAAUUAGCUGACCGCUUGGGUGUCCAUGAGGCCAGACAUCUGACUUCACUCACCUGAUUGACCAGCUUUUUGGUUACUAGGUAGCUUAACCUGAGGCUAUGUAAAAGACAUUACCACGAGGCUUGACCCUGCUUUUUUAACUUUUCUUUCUCUGCCCCCUCCCCCCACCAUUUCCUCAGAUUUUCCAGACUAGAAAUAUAAAAUGGCAUCCUCAUAAGAGCACUAUCUUCUCAGAGUAGGCAGUGACUCUUUUGAAUUAGCCAGUACCCAUAAUUCUGUAUACUCACUGUAUCUUCUCCAGCAAGGGAGAAGUUUCAGUGCAGAAUCAUUAAUGGAUGUGGGUAAGUUGUUGAAAUGUUGUGCUGACUGCCCUUUUUUUUUUUAGCUUGGCAUUACUUCCAUGAAUAUGGAUAGCCAAAGCAGAAAGCAGCCCACUGAGGAACGCUUCUUUUCCAUUCAGUCCAAGUACCAUCAAGAAUUCAGUGUUUUUUUUUUUUUUCUUUCUUUCUGCACAUUUCAUAAUUCUUAAAGUGGUGACAAUGUUGGCAUCCCCAGAGAUGAGCCAAGACUUGGGAAUGUCCUCCAUUUAUAAAGUUGUUAGAUAGCCAAUACCUCAAAGUUCAAAAAAUAUCAACUGGGCUUCUACACUUUUUCAACAUUUUUAUUUCCCUGAAGAUGUAAUAUGAACUGCAAAAGAGUUUUAAGUGCAUUUCUACAUUCUUACCUUAAAGAAAUUUUAGAAAUCCUGUAAAUCCAGCUCACAGAACCUCAGCUUUCACAUAACU